rnacentral:rRNA from 1 species
AACGAACGCUGGCGGCAGGCUUAACACAUGCAAGUCGAACGGUUGUAGCAAUACAGCAGUGGCAGACGGGUGAGUAACACGUGGGAACCUUCCUAGGGGUACGGAACAACUCAGGGAAACUUGAGCUAAUACCGUAUACGUCCGUGAGGAGAAAGAUUUAUCGCCCUUAGACGGGCCCGCGUAGGAUUAGGUAGUUGGUGGGGUAAUGGCCUACCAAGCCUACGAUCCUUAGCUGAUCUGAGAGGAUGAUCAGCCACACUGGGACUGAGACACGGCCCAGACUCCUACGGGAGGCAGCAGUGGGGAAUCUUGGACAAUGGGCGCAAGCCUGAUCCAGCCAUGCCGCGUGAGUGAAGAAGGGCCUUC